ensembl:miRNA
CCUCUCGGUCCCAUAUUGAACUCGAGUUGGAAGAGGCGAGUCCGGUCUCAAA